rnacentral:rRNA from 1 species
GACCUCAAUCAGGUAGGACUACCCGCUGA